GCGCUUGCCGCGGCCCGGGCUUGCACCCCGCUGGGCAAAGUACCCGGGGCUGUCACACGGCGAGCUGAGCCCCGGGCCGGCGGGGAUGCAUGAGACAUUUGGUGCCGAAGACCCGGGUCAGCAGGACUCCUUUGAGAGACCAGUCCCCUGUCCUCACCCUCACUCUGUGAAGAGAUCCACCUAUGACCUCAGGUCCUUAGACCAACCAGCCUAAGGAACAUCUCACCUAUUUUAAAUCGGGUUCUCACACCGCCCUAAUCCCACUCGGAGCAGCCCUGAGAAACAUUGCCCAUCAUCUCUCCAUACCACCCCCCAAAAUUUUUGCCGCCCCAACACUUCACCACUAUUUUGUUUUGUUUUUCUUAUUAAUAUAUGAAGACAGCAAUGUCAGGCCUCUGAACCCAAGCUAAGCCAUCAUAUCCCCUGUGACCUGCAUGUAUACAUCCAGAUGGCCUGAAGCAACUGAAGAUCCACAAAAGACGUGAAAAUAGCCUUAACUGAUGACAUUCCACCAUUGUCAUCAGCCCUACCCUAACUGAAAAGAUAUAUUCUCCCCCACCCUUAAGAAGGUACUUUGUAAUAUUCUCCCCCUGCCUUUAAGAAGGUACUUUGUAUGCCUAUCCCAAACCUAUAAGAACUAAUGAUAAUCCCAGCGCCCUUUGAUGUCUCUUUUUUUGGACUCAGCCCGCCUGCACCCAGGUGAAAUAAACAGCCUUGUUGCUCACACAAAGCCUGUUUGGUGGUCUCUUCACA